UUAACAAGUCCAGUAAACCUGGCUAACACCUGACCAGAGACCAAUCAGGAGACAAGAUCUUCAAAUCUCGUGGAGGGAAGCUUUGUUUGUGGCUUUUGGGCUUGG